rnacentral:rRNA from 1 species
AGCGAACGCUGGCGGCAGGCUUAACACAUGCAAGUCGAACGCCCGGGCAACCGGGAGUGGCAGACGGGUGAGUAACGCGUGGGAACAUGCCCUUUGGUUCGGAAUAACUCAGGGAAACUUGAGCUAAUACCGGAUAAGCCCUUAUGGGGAAAGAUUUAUCGCCGAAGGAUUGGCCCGCGUCCGAUUAGCUAGUUGGUGAGGUAAUGGCUCACCAAGGCGACGAUCGGUAGCUGGUCUGAGAGGAUGAUCAGCCACACUGGGACUGAGACACGGCCCAGACUCCUACGGGAGGCAGCAGUGGGGAAUAUUGGACAAUGGGCGCAAGCCUGAUCCAGCCAUGCCGCGUGAGUGAUGAAGGCCUUAGGGUUGUAAAGCUCUUUCGGCGGGGACGAUAAUGACGGUACCCGCAGAAGAAGCCCCGGCUAACUUCGUGCCAGCAGCCGCUGUAAUAC